GCGGGUUUAGCUCAGUUGGGAGAGCGUCAGACUGAAGUCAAACUUCAAUCAAUUGAUAUCUGAAGGUCAUGUGUUCGAUCCACAUAAACCGCA
rfam:Fusarium oxysporum f. sp. cubense race 1 unplaced genomic scaffold scaffold2, whole genome shotgun sequence.